AUGCUCAACUACAGCACAAGAGCAAAACCAGAGCUUAUCCAGAUAUUGCAGACUCUAGCAUUGUAUCCUGUAAUGGGACUUCCUGUUGAGUGCUCCCCCACAUCCAACACCAAGGCCACUGAACGCCUCUUUACCAACAUGCCGGUGAGUUGUGUGGAAUUUGGACAGCCAGUGCCUUUUCUCUGCUUCUUGGGAGGCAAUUAGGGUUGGUCACUCUGUACCAGGGAGAAUUAGCCUUAGUAUUCAGACCUAGAAGUGAAGCAAGACCAUGAGAAACUGCUUCACUUCCACAGAGGGCGAUCCAAAUAAAGAUCAUCUUCCUUGAUAAAAACA
rnacentral:lncRNA from 12 species